rnacentral:lncRNA from 1 species
UUUUUUUUUUUUUUUCUGUGCAGAAAACCACAUUAUUAUGGUUUUAAAAGUUUUAGAAAUAUCCUUAAAACCAUAAUAAAAAAUGGUGAUUUUACAAUUUUCUUUAGAACCACAGUUAAUAACUGUGGUUUCAAAAAUAUUUUUAAAUUACACCCCAUUACAAUGGUUAGUAUUAUGAUUUUAAAAUUAUUUUUAAAAUCACAAUUAAUAAUUAUGGUUUUAAAAAUAUUUUGAAAACCACAGUCACUGAUUGUGGUUUUAUAAUUUUCUUUAGAAUCAUAGUUACUAACUAUAGUUUCACAAAUAUCUUUAAAGUACACUCCGUUACAAUUUUCAAUAAUUAGUAUUAUAAUUUUAAAAUCUUUUUUAGAACCAUAAUUAGUAAUUGUGGUUUCAAAAAUAUCCUUUAAAUUGCAUUUGUUACAAUUUUUCAUAGUUGCAUUGUUAGUUUAAAAAUAUUUUUGAAACCACAGUUAUUAACUAUGGUUUUAUGGUUGUUAUGAUAAAAAAGAUUUUAAAAAUAAUUUUAAACUCACAAUACUAACUAUUAAAAGUUGAAACGAGUUAUGGUUUAAAAAUAUUUUUGAAACUAUAGUUAGUAAUUAUGGUUUUAAAGAAAAUUGUAGAACUUUAUGAUUAUGAUUUUAAGGAUAUUUAUGAAACUUUUAAAACCACAAUCAUCAAUUAUGGUAUUUUAUACUAAAAAAAAUAAAAGGAAAAAAUCCAAGUGGAUGAAUACGUGGUAAAAAAAAAAAGACUACUUUGAUAAAUAUUUUGGGUGGGACACUAUUCUCACUAUUUUUUUUUCAAAAGUAUUAUUUUGGACUUAAAACUCCAUAUUACCGUAAAAGGACAUAAAUCAAGAGACUAUUGAGAAUUAGAUUUGUGGACGUUUUAUACAUAUAAUACAAAACAUACUUGAGGGGAACUUUGGAAGAGGAGGCUGCAGGCUUUGCAUGUAGGCCAUGACUUAGUGUUGAUGUGCCCUGCUCCAAAGCUGAGCAGUCCCUGCCACUACAGUGUCCAUAUCAGUGAUUGGUACCAUACUAUCAUGGAGGUGGUAUGGUGUGGCCAUCAUUUGCCAACAAAUGGAGCCUCACUCCAAUCAGGGUAAGCAGCUACCCCAACUGCAAGACUCUGAGUGCCAACUGCCAACUCAUUGAACAUGUAGUUACCUCCUAUCCAUGUUAUUCUGUUGGGUGCCCCGGUAGCCAAAAAAACCACUCCAGAAGCCAAUGCACCAGGUUUCAAUAUCAUUAGAGUGCUACGUCCGGGUCCUCAUGACGGGAACCAGGCGCCAUCACAGGGGCUGGUUACGUAGGGCUUAGUAUCAAAUAGAAUUUUCUGAUUUGAUUAUGUAGUUCUUCAACAAUUUGGGGCUUACAUAGACAAAUGGUAUGUUGAAUGCACAGGGCAGUAGGCUCCUGCAGCUCCUACUCUACCCACUUCACCCUGCCGUUCAUUUCCUCCUGAUCCAGGAAAAUCGCAUAACACAAUCUUGACUUCAACAUCGGUGGGAUCCAUGGCACAUUGUUAAGAGGUUCUUCUAUUCCCAUGGCCAAAGUAGAGAGGGACUUUGGAGAUCGACAGGUUUCCUGAAUUAACAGAUUUUUCUCCGAUGGUUAAGAUGCCAUUACCCUAGCCUUGUCUAUGAUAUAGAAGCCGAGCAUACAUCUAUUUUUUGCUUGGGAUUGAUGAACUAUACAACAAAACGGUUCAGGCUUUAUAAGGACGUCAGGUUUCCCCUGCAAACCACCCAGUCUGGACCUUAACUAUCCUCCAUUGACAUUAAUCUUGAAGAAGACUAAAAAAGGUAGCCACAUCUUCAAGAGGGUGUUGACUCAUCAUCCACCCAAGAGCAAUGCCCUUUGCGGAAAAAAAAUUGUCAUGGAGGUUGUAUAUCAAUUCUUGCAGUCAGUAAAUUCCCACUAUAGGUAUUUCUAUAUGAUGUUAAAGAGGAGAAAAGAAAAGAGAAACUGUUUUGCAGUAAAUAAAAAUCCCUGAACAAUUUAUGAACGACAAAUACAUACUGGAAAUCAGUGCUUCCCAAUCACGUCCAGGGGUUGCUCCAGCUAGGGUACAAGGCAAAGGAUACAGCUCACACGGUCAUGAAAUAGACCAAAUGACUUAUAACUAACUUAGACCAAAUAGCAUACUAACCAAUGCUGAUUAGUUGCUUCUUGUUUUAUGUUCGACUUAUUUAA